rnacentral:lncRNA from 1 species
UUUACAUAAUUUAAAAUGUUAGUUGUUGAGCUAGAAGAUUUAAAAUGUAAACUUUUGCUAACUUGAUGAUUUAGGUUGCGAUUUUCCCUUUGUUCUUUCCCUACAAUAUCAUUUAUGAGAAAACUUGCAUUCAAAUACCAAACUUACUCAUUUUUUCAGAAACACACAAACUCUUCAUUAAUUUAAAUAUUUUACAUAACUUAAAUUGGUAUCCAAACCCGAACAUAAACCGCAAAGAUCUGAACUAAAACCAAACCUAAAUUUAUAAAUACCGAUAACAGCAUAAACUUUAUGGAAAAUUCCCAUAAAUACCACA